ACCUAGCUGGCUCAGUCGGUGGAGCGUGUAACUCUUGAUCUCUGGGUUGUGAGUUCGAGCCCCAUGUUGGGUG
rfam:Ailuropoda melanoleuca scaffold1318_50, whole genome shotgun sequence.